rfam:Echinostoma caproni strain Egypt genome assembly, scaffold: ECPE_scaffold0000036
GUACUGCUGACGAGUGCCAAAAUAGGACGAAACAGCUGUCCAGUGC